GCAGAAAGUAGAGCCCAGAGAAGAAACAUGCAAACCAAGAUUUCUGCAAGUGAUUCAACAUUUUAUUUUUUUUCCCCUUCUCUUUUCUCCAGUAAGCUAAAUUUGUUGUUGUUCCCACAGUGAGACCUCAGACUGUUGCAAACCAAUAAUCGCAAUUGCUGCAGAAUCCUUGAGGGUUCACCUUCUAGGUCUUCAGACCUGCAUAUGAAAGGCCAAUUUAUUUAUUUAUUUAUUUGUUUGUUUGUUUGUUUAUUUAUAAAGUAUUGAUUAAAUUUGAAGUGUGGAGUCAUUCUUGAAUUUAAAGGCAGCAGAUCUGCUGUUGCAUACUUGCUGGUGAGGACUGGCAUGGGAAGGGAGUGCUCAGAGAGAGUAAAUCAUUCUCUCGCAGGGUGAAUGAGGUAAGAAUAUUACAGGGGUGCUGUGCUGCUCUGCUGUGGUUACACAUCCGUAGCAUACAGGGGCCCGUCGCCCACUUUCACUAUAAUGCUUUCAGAAUAAAAAAAACACUACCUCUGAAGAAACAGGAAUCCCCUGCAGAAACAGAAGCGUAUCUUGUGCAAAACCCCUCUGAGCAGAAGUUCAGAGCAGCGCUGGUGGGUCAGCAGUCUGAAGUCAGCAGUAGCUUGCAUAAAGCAAAACUCAUAAACAAGCCGGAUGUGAGUGCUUUCAGAAGUGCAUUAGAAAGUUGACAGAGCUGAAGUGGAACAACUUCCUUGGAAAAAAGUCAAAGAUUGCUAGAGUUUGGAGUUCUGAUGAUCACAUUCCAGUAGACUCAUGUCUCCACCCUGCUGUGUUUCUCCUUUUCCCAACGACAGCACUAGAGUUUUGCCCUUUUAUUUUCCCUGGAACUUCAGAACUGAUUGAGUACGUGUGAUGUUCAUAAGCUGUUGUGUAACAUCCAAAUGGAGCAAUAUCUUCAAGUUGAGUACAAGACCUUGCAAGCUCAGUCAACAAUACCAAGAAGUUGAACUGGAUAAGACAAUUUUGUCAGUUGGUGGUAGAUUGUGAAGAUCUGGCAGCAUCUUCAUCCUUGGGGUUCAGAGGGCUAAGUGGGUCAGGACAGGGAGGACAGCCUACCUAUAGACACAAAGCUUUAAACAAGUGAAAACCCAGAAAACUCAAAACCCCUUAACUCUGAAAUUUUGGAGGUCAGAUUACUUCUGGCCAGUUGCUUGUUUUUCAGCCAUGCCUGUGUCUAAGUGAAUGCAAACACUGUAAGUGAAAGUUAACAAAAGCCCAAAUGAUUGGCUGGCAGACUGCGAUGAUUAUUCAUACUACUUUGCUAUAUUGUAAAUAUUUCAGCUAGAAAAUAUAAUGGCUACAAUCAUUUCUGAAAUAUGUUUGGCAGAGAAACUUGAAAUGGAAACAACAAAAUAAAGUUAAUAUGCCUUUUGACUUACGGUUAUGC
rnacentral:lncRNA from 1 species